AGCAGCCGCGGUAAUUCCAGCUCCAAUAGCGUAUAUUAAAGUUGUUGCAGUUAAAAAGCUCGUAGUUGAAUUUCGGGAUCAGUAUGUUGGUCGUGCUUCGGUACGUACUGUCAUUACUGGUUUCUCCCUUCUGAAGAACCUUGAUGUCAUUAAUUUGGUGUCUUGGGGAAUCAGGACUGUUACUUUGAAAAAAUUAGAGUGUUUAAAGCAGGCAUACGCUUGAAUACAUUAGCAUGGAAUAAUGAAAUAGGACGUUUGAUUCUAUUUUGUUGGUUUCUAGGAUCGACGUAAUGAUUAAUAGGGAUAGUUGGGGGCAUUAGUAUUCAAUUGUCAGAGGUGAAAUUCUUGGAUUUAUUGAGGACUAACUACUGCGAAAGCAUUUGCCAAGGAUGUUUUCAUUAAUCAAGAACGAAAGUUAGGGGAUCGAAGACGAUCAGAUACCGUCGUAGUCUUAACCAUAAACUAUGCCGACUAGGGAUCGGAUGAUGUUAUUUUUAAUGACUCAUU
rnacentral:rRNA from 1 species